rnacentral:rRNA from 1 species
UACGUAGGGUGCAAGCGUUGUCCGGAUUUACUGGGCGUAAAGGGUGCGUAGGCGGACAUUUAAGUCAGAUGUGAAAUACCCGAGCUUAACUUGGGUGCUGCAUUUGAAACUGGGUGUCUAGAGUGCAGGAGAGGUAAGUGGAAUUCCUAGUGUAGCGGUGAAAUGCGUAGAGAUUAGGAAGAACACCAGUGGCGAAGGCGACUUACUGGACUGUAACUGACGCUGAGGCAUGAAAGCGUGGGGAGCAAACAGG